rnacentral:tRNA from 1 species
GCGCUUGUAGCUCAGGUGGAUAGAGCAACGGCCUUCUAAGCCGUAGGUCGCGGGUUCGAAUCCUGCCGGGCGCGCCA